AGGCCUACGGGAGGCAGCAGUGGGGGAUAUUGGACAAUGGGGGGAACCCUGAUCCAGCGACGCCGCGUGAGUGAAGAAGUAUUCCGGUAUGUAAAGCUCUAUCAGCAGGGAAGAAAAAUGACGGUACCUGAGUAAGAAGCACCGGCUAAAUACGUGCCAGCAGCCGCGGUAAUACGUAUGGUGCAAGCGUUAUCCGGAUUUACUGGGUGUAAAGGGAGCGCAGGCGGUGCGGCAAGUCUGAUGUGAAAGCCCGGGGCUCAACCCCGGGACUGCAUUGGAAACUACCGAACUAGAGUGUCGGAGAG
rnacentral:rRNA from 1 species